rnacentral:rRNA from 1 species
AUGUGGAAAACCAACUGGCCAUGGCAGAUAAGACCAUAUGAUAAAAACAAAUUCCUGGUGAGGUUCCCCCCAAAUAAAAGAAUUGCUGAGUUUGCUGAGUACCCAUCCAUGAAUCUGAAAAGGAAGAAAGCAACUAUAUCUUUCAUGAAAUGGGGAGGAGAAAUGCCAGAAUAUGAGUCCUCGAUAGAAACUUGGAUAGUAAUGGAAGGAUUGCCCCCAAAGUGGAUAAGCUGGAGUGUUAUAGCUCAAGUGGCAUCCAUUUUAGGGGUUCUGGUUAAUAUUGAUUGGCACAUGAUAUUCAGAAGCUUUUAUGAGAAAGUGAGAAUUCAAGUUGCAGUCAGAGACCCCAGCAAAAUACCUACUGAUAGAGUGGUGGAAAUUCAGCAUGAGUUGUAUCUGUUGAGGCUUGCAGUGGAAAAAGAUGCUGAAGAAAGCUCCAAUUCUGACAACCCAUCUGACCCUACUAGCAAUAAGAUUGAAGACACCAAUGUCAACAGUGAUGAUGAUCUGCUGGGAGAAGAAAUGCAAACUGAGAUGGAAAAGUCUGGGAAAAUUAUUAAUACCCCAAGGCCCUCUGCUGCUCCUAGAGGAUCCAAAUCAAAUAGCUACAAAACUCCUCGGGCUACUAUUGAGAAUACUACAGGCUCAAAAACUCAGAGAGCUCCACUGACCAAAAGCUAUUUGGAAGUGGUCCAGAAGAAAACUAGAGAUGAUUUUGGAGAAAAGUUGCUACCUAGCUUUGAAGCUGCUGUAAAUCAAGGUCAUGACAAGGCUGUUGGUCUAAAAAACAACAAAACUGCUAUGAAGUGGGGGCCUAUAGAAGCCACCACAAUGAGUGACAGAAUCAUAAGAGAUGGGAAACCUGCUCUGACCAAGGCCCAAGAAUUGAAGCAGAAGAGAGACUUGGAGAUUCUUAAAGAAUCCCAACCUCUUCCCCCUAACUCCAGGAAUAAAAUUAAAUCUAUUUCAAGUGAGCUGAAUGAUAUCUGGACUAGGGAGGAGAUCAAAGCCAGGCAGAGAUCCAGAGAGAGGGACAUCUUGGAGGGAGAACAUUAUACUGGAUACUUCAAGGCCAUUGCUAACCAAAAAAGGAGUAAGAAACAAGUACUGAUGCUGGAAGGAGAAAAUGUUCCUGUGAAUGAUCCUAAAGGUGAUCGUGAGGAAGACUACAAAAAACCUAUCCUUAUGGGAGGUGGUCAUGCCAGAUGCUGCCAAGCCGGAGCUAAAAGAGAUCGUGCAGAAGCUGGAGCAGGUGGCAAGAAAUCCCCCACCCCUCCUGUGGCCAGAUCGAGGUUGAUUGGGGGAAGAUAUGGGGGAGAACUCUCUGGGAGCGACCUGAUCAUGCUUUGA